AAUGACCUAACUCGAUUCCCCAUCUACCCUCUUUAAUCCAGGUUGUUGAUCAUUCAGAUCAACGACUAAUAUUAUCUGUUUCUUUUUUUAGCCCUAAAUGACCCCUUACCCUACCUCAUUCUUUAUUAAACACCACCCUUGAAUUCACAUUUCUCUCAAUCCUCUCUAAAGCCUCACCUGAACCCUAGACACAGCCCUCUAAUCUUAUCCUAAUUCACUCUAAUACCUACAUAAUCCAUGGUCCAUCGUGGUUAUUUAAGACGUGUAUCAGCCUCCUAUGGCUCCUAGGUAUUUGGUUAAGUGGUUUCAUGACCAGACCUUGAAGGAGUUUGGUCCAGUCCUGCUCGACUAUUGUUCAUGGCCUUUCUCCGGCCAUCCACGACCUUUCUCCGGCCAUUCAUGGCCUUUCAAGGCAAAUCAUUGACUUUUUUGGUUAGAUCGUUAACUUUCGAGGUCUUUCACACUUAUUUUGGGUUUUAUAAAACCCUAGCUCUAAGACCUUUCAAUUUCUUUCAGAUCUCUUUUAGAUCUGUACUUACUAUGAAUUUCUUAAGUAUUUUCUCGAAGGUUCUUCAACUUUUCUAGCAAAACGACUUCUCAUUUUUUCCAAUGUUUAGAGUUUUCGUUUAAGUUUUUCAAAAUUUUUCUUCUCUGAUCUUAUUGUUGUUAUGAUUUUGCUAGGUUUAAAAUGAUUUUCUCAUAUUGUUCUUCUAUCUAUUUCAGCAUAUUUAAAACCCCUAGUUCCUUCUCGUCUUAUCCGAGUUCUAAGACUGUUUGUUUAAAUGUGCACUUGUUCUUUGUUUCUGAUUUUCUUUUCCUUGUUUGACUUGUUAGAUUUUGAGUUCUUACCAUAUCUUAAUCUCGACUGCUGUUGAAGCCCUAAAUAUCUUAGAAGUUUUCUCACUUGUCACUACUGGGAGACCUUUACCUGUUUCUGAUUUCUCUUAUUCGGUACUAUGUUCUUCUUUACUAUUGAUGCUAUGUGACUACUUGGCUUACUUGACUAUUGUGCCUCAAAUAGUUUCCUUACUACUGAAUCAUAGCUUAUUUCUUCCACUACUGUAUGUUUGUGUUAUCUCUUUUGCCAAUCUAUUUGGCCUUGCAUGUUUUAUGCUUCUCUUCGCUCUAGUUAUAUACUGAAGUACAUAAUCAUAUUUCUUCCUUGAUUGAUCUUGUGACUGAUUGCAAAAGCUUUUCUUUUAUUAACCCUAAUUUCACUCACUUGCUAUAUUAAUUGAUUCCUUUCCCUUUACUGCGAUAUUUGACCUUGCUAAAUAAUUUUCAAAAUUAGCCUAUUUUAUACUUAGACUUUAUUGUUUACUGCAUGCUUUUACUGCCCCUUAUAUGGAAAUAAUCAAUCUGUCCAAACUAAUUUUCUUUCCUUAAUUGAAACUUGUUAGUACCCAUUAAGCCAUGAUUCCUUAAUUUAAGGGAAUCACUUGUGUAAUUGAUUCUAACUUAUGAUUAUUGCCAUGUUUGUAUUAAGACUUUACCUAUUACCUACUUAUCACUCGUUUUCAAAAGCUAUAUAUACCCACCCCCUCUUCUUUCAAAAGACGAACAACUUGAGUUCAAAACACAUACUCACACUUAAAACUCUCUCUUUCUUUACUGUUAUUUGUGUUAUUGUUUUGUCUAGCCGGCUGAAAGCCAAGGCUAGACUGUGGAAUGUUGCUUAAUUUUCUUUACUGCACUUUGCUUCUCUACCGGUAUGUCCUAGUUUACUUUUUAAGUCUCAACAACAAUAUGUUUCUUUAAGUUGCUUCAGUUUCUCAUUCAUGACCACUUCUGCUGACGUCUCUGUAGUCUAUUUAUGUUACUAGCAUGCUGAAAUCUAUUCCCUCCCCUGUUAAAUUAAUGCUUCCCUAGAUGUGUUCCUUUGGAUGGUUUGUGUCCAUGCCAGCAUCAGCUAUUGCGGUGGAUGACCAAACCAGACCCCUGUCGGGGUUAUACAAUGUAUCCCAUAAUCCCUUCCUCUUUUACAUUAAUGUUUCCCUAUAUAUGUACUCUGUUAUGUGAUUUGCUGAAUUAUGAAUUCCAAAUCCCAUAUCCCCCUUAUGUGUUUAUGUUCUUUUAGACCGUUUGUGUCCAUGCCAGCAUCAGUUAUUGUUGUGCAUGACUAAACCAGACCCUUUAUGGGGUCAUAUGCUUCAUACAAUGUAUUCCCAAAACACCUUGACCCCUUUGUAUAACUACUGUUUAUUUGUAUUUUGAGCUUUACUACUACUGUUUUCAAAUCACCCUUUAAUACUUACUAUUUCCAACUCAGUUUUAAUCAAUCUUUUUCCUGCACUUCCACUAUAUUCUUAGAACAUAGGUUCUGCGCCUCUUGUGUGAGCCUUGCCUUGGGACCCUUGAGAUCCGUUUGAACUUGCCAACAUAAGGAAUGGCCCUUCCACACUACACUCAUUCUUAUCUGUUUAUGCAAACCUGGGUGUAAGCAGUGCCUGGGGUCCCUUGAGACCCUUAUGGAACUUUGACACACCCAAGUAUGAGAAAGGCUUUGAACACCAUGGGCAUCUGAAGUGAUUAAUUAUAUAACUCUGAUAGGAAGUCAAGAUCAGGCUUUUUUUGGUUGUAAUUUCUUAUUUCUGCACUUCUUUUGUAAUUUAAGUAUUUGUCCUGUAAUAAUUUGUAACAAACAUUGGGGUUUGGCAAGUAAAAAG
rnacentral:lncRNA from 1 species